UACAUGGGGGUGCAAACGUUGCUCGGAAUUAUUGGGGCGUAAAGCGCACGUAGGCGGUUCGUUAAGUCGGAUGUGAAAGCCCUCGGCUCAACUGAGGAAGUGCACCCGAAACUGGCGAGCUUGAGUACGAAAGAGGAUCGCGGAAUUCCCGGUGUAGAGGUGAAAUUCGUAGAUAUUGGGAAGAACACCGGUGGCGAAGGCGGCUCACUGGCUCAUUUCUGACGCUCAGGCGCGACAGCGUGGGGAUCAAACAGG
rnacentral:rRNA from 1 species